AUUCGUGCAGUGGUGAGAGGUGGAUGUGUGUCGUGUCACGUCGCGAUUUUAUGUGUGAAGUGUGAUGAAACUCGCCUGUGUGCAAAUUAAUGUAACAUUUCCCAACAUAUUAUAACAUUCUGGAUGGCCUUAUGAAACUGAUCUGGACUUGUAUCCCGCCUCGCUAACAUCGCUCCUGAACUUCGUAUAUCAGAUGUGUGCCGAGCAGAGGUUGGCGUGGAGGCUGGUGAGUUGAGGCAGCUGGCUAGCAUGAAGGGAGGCCACUACGUCCAUGCCCAGCUGGCCUAGACCCGCUCACCCCUCGUGCAGGAGAUGGCCACCAGCAGGACCCCGGGCCGCAGGUCACGCGGCCACGCGGGGUCAGAGGCCACCAGCCCCCAAGACCCGUACUCCGAGAUUGAACUGUAUCUGCGUAAGGCCGAGGUUAGUACGCUUUUAAAGUUU